UUUUCCGCGGGAUUUUUUCAUUCACAUAUAUUGGACACAGUCAUGGAUAUCAUUUGUUAUGAAAAAGGAGCAAAUAAAUUAAUGAACAGCUUAUUGGCAAAAAAGAACUACCCAUUUCAAACUUCAUAGCCAUGCCAAACUUUGUCUCUUUUUCGCCAAUUAUAGUCCUUUUUCGCGCUUGUUUGUUAUUUGGGAAAAUAUCAUAAGAAAACCACACCACACUUGCAGUCUUGAU
rnacentral:lncRNA from 1 species